ensembl:ncRNA F29F11.13 ncRNA
GUGAAAAAGAUCGAGAGAAGGCAAAAUAAGACCGAAAGGAAAUGAAAAAAGAGGAGGAAAGCAGGGACGGACGGGGCAACGAGAUGCUCACGUUGAGAUGAGGGUCUCGAAUUCAAUUUAUUGAAUCGCGCAGAAGCAGAAGCAAAAAAAGUUGUUGACUAAACAAGUAACCGCAAGUUUUUGAGAGGGCGAAAAAUAGGAAGAAAAACGAAGAU